AGAGGAAGAAAAAAAAUGUUACUUUAUUCCCUCGUCUCUCGAGUCUUGACCCAUUUGAUCUCAGUUUAAUUUAACCUUUUUGGCUUUUUGGGUUUUUGCACAGCUCACUAGUCACUCCUCGCACCUCACUCAGGCUUUUGAAACCUAGGGUUUAAUUUCUUUGGUUAUCCGAGUUCAAUGGAAGUUUCAGGUGUUGAACUGCAACCUGAGGUGGACGCCACCUCGGAUGCUCCUGAACACUGUCAGGAAAGCAAUCAAAAGGAAAAAGGAGAAGGAACCUCCUUAGUUCAGCAGUCUAGACGGCCAAACCUAUCGUCUUUGCAGAUACCUGUAAGGUCUCUUGAAAAUACAUCAUCUGCUUUUGCAAGGAUAGAAAUUUCCUCAGCUCCGAGUCCUACUUCCACUAAAGCAGGAUUGCCGCCUAGACCACCUUCAGCUAAAUUCAAAUCAUCCAUGAGAAAUCUGCUUCCCCAAAGAAGCUUGAGGGCAAAAAAUUUGUCUGAGGAUGGGGAAAAGACGGUUCUUAUCAUCCCAGACACACCAUCAUCGGAUGGUCCUUUGGAUAAGCCUACUACUUCAAGGUCAUUUUCUCUCAACAAGGUUCUUUUCCCUUCAGUAAAAGCAACAUAUUCUUUACCAGCUACACCAAUUGCAAGUUCAGGUUCUGAGUCCCUGCAGGAAAAGAAUCUGGAUGGUGAAUCUGAUUUUUCUAAGGUAGAAGUUCAGCAUCAUAUGACACGCUCAUUGUCAGUUCCUGUAAAUGUUAAAGCCAGAAGUUUAAGGCGGAUGGACUCUACAGGAGGUUUGAUCCGUGUGAUAUCAGCAACCCCUCGUCCAGUGGCAGUUGAUGGUGCCUCACAAGAUGAUGCCCCGGUAACAGAAAUUGUGAGUGGAGAUGAUGGGGAAGAUAUUCCUGAGGAAGAAGCAGUUUGCAGGAUUUGUUUCAUUGAGCUUGGGGAAGGAGGUGAUACUCUUAAGUUGGAGUGUAGCUGUAAAGGUGAACUUGCACUUGCUCACCAAGACUGUGCUAUAAAGUGGUUUAGCAUUAAAGGAAACAAGACAUGCGAUGUCUGCAAGCAGGAUGUCCAGAACCUUCCUGUAACAUUACUGAAAAUACAAAAUCCUCAGACUGUUGUUAGACGGCCAGCAACUCUACCACAGCAGAGAGAAGAGACUCGAUACAGGGUCUGGCAGGAUGUUCCAGUUCUAGUCAUGGUCAGCAUGCUUGCAUAUUUCUGCUUCUUGGAGCAAUUACUGGUAACUAACCUGGGUCCUCGUGCUCUUGCCAUUUCUUUGCCCUUCUCAUGUGUUUUAGGUCUUCUUUCGUCCAUGAUAGCUUCCACCAUGGUGAGCAAGAGUUACAUAUGGGCUUAUGCUUCAUUCCAGUUUGCAAUUGUGAUCCUAUUUGCUCAUAUCUUCUAUACUAUACUCAACGUAAACCCAAUUCUUUCAGUUCUCCUUUCCUCAUUCACUGGGUUUGGAAUUGCAAUAAGCACAAAUUCGCUUCUAGUAGAGUACCUGAGAUGGAGAGCAAGCAGGCAGGUGCGAUCUUCCGAUCAAAAUAACAGAGGUGUGCAACAACCACAACGGAACCAUCCCCAUCACCACCACCACCACCACCACCACCAGUGGCAGCAGCAGCAACAACAACAACAACAACAACAACAUCAACACCAAUUACAAGACCUAAUACAAGAAUCCAAUACUGGGCCUACAGAUAGUUCCAGGCAAGAAGAAAACAGGAUUCAGAACACUUGAUUGACAAGGAUAAGAGGAAAUUUUUGUAACCAUUACAGGACAGUCUUAGACAUGAACAAUGCGAAAGAAAUAGUUUUAUGGAAGGAGAUUCUCUGCCACUUGAUUGUUAUCCUGAUGAUGAUGAAAAUGUUAAUUAAUUCUUCAGCAUAUACACCUUCAACAAGUAGUUGAACCAAAGGAAACCAAGGGAUUGAGUAGAAACAAGAGGUCACUGAGUAUGCAACAGUUCCCAAGUGUGAAUAUAUAUGUAGCAGAAAUCUUAGAUUCUGGAAACAAGUUCUUGAGCUGGGUUUCUGAUGUUUUCAUAUCAGUUAUCAAGAAUGAUGCAGAAGAAAUUUCAGAUUUUGGAACAACCAAUCUUGUUGAGUUUGUGUUGUGAGUGGGUUUUCCUUUUUAUGCUCUCAUAUCAAAAGACUGUUGCCUUAACAUUUUCUAACUGGCCACUGCUUCAUGGCAUAAUGCGGAUGCUAUUUCCCGGUUUCAAGUGCUUUCCAGCUUCAAAAU